UGAGGAAUAUUGGUCAAUGGGCGCGAGCCUGAACCAGCCAAGUAGCGUGCAGGAUGACGGCCCUAUGGGUUGUAAACUGCUUUUAUCAGGGGAUAAAGUGAGGGACGUGUCCCUUUUUGUAGGUACCUGAUGAAUAAGGACCGGCUAAUUCCGUGCCAGCAGCCGCGGUAAUACGGAAGGUCCGGGCGUUAUCCGGAUUUAUUGGGUUUAAAGGGAGCGAAGGCUGAUUGUUAAGCGUGACGUGAAAUGUAGCCGCUCAACGGCUGAACUGCGUCGCGAACUGGCAGUCUUGAGUGAGUACGACGUCAGCGGAAUUCGUGGUGUAGCGGUGAAAUGCUUAGAUAUCACGAAGAACCCCGAUUGCGAAGGCAGCUGACGAGUCCUUUACUGACGCUAAAGCUCGAAGGUGCGGGUAUCGAACAGG
rnacentral:rRNA from 2 species